GACGAACGCUGGCGGCGUGCCUAAUACAUGCAAGUCGAACAGUGGCGAACGGGUGAGUAACACGUGAGUAACCUGCCCUCCACUUUGGGAUAACUCCGAGAAAUCGGGGCUAAUACUGGAUAGUGGGGGAUGGGCUCGCGGCCUAUCAGUGUGUUGGUGAGGUAGUGGUCACCAAGGCGUGACGGGUAGCCGGCCUGGGCGGGGGACCGGCCACACUGGGACUACGAGAGGGACCAGAAGCCAACGGGAGGCAGCGGUGGGGAGUAUCGCCCAGUAGGGGAAAGCCUGAUGAGGCGGCGCCGGGUGGGGGAAGAAGGCCUUCGGGUUGUAAACCUCUUUCAGCAAAGAAGCGGUACUUGCAGAAGAAGCGCCGGCUAACUACGUGCCAGCAGCCGCGGUAAUAC
rnacentral:rRNA from 1 species